AUCGAGAAAGGCAAAACCAGCCAAAGCUGGUGACGCAAAGCCACGGGUCCUCGCCUCCUCCGAGAAGCCAUGGACGACCUCCCGAAGGACCAAGACAGCCGGCUGCCGUAA
rnacentral:ncRNA from 1 species